UACGUAGGGUGCGAGCGUUAAUCGGAAUUACUGGGCGUAAAGCGUGCGCAGGCGGUGAUGUAAGACAGGUGUGAAAUCCCCGGGCUUAACCUGGGAACUGCAUUUGUGACUGCAUCGCUGGAGUGCGGCAGAGGGGGAUGGAAUUCCGCGUGUAGCAGUGAAAUGCGUAGAUAUGCGGAGGAACACCGAUGGCGAAGGCAAUCCCCUGGACCUGCACUGACGCUCAUGCACGAAAGCGUGGGGAGCAAACAGG
rnacentral:rRNA from 1 species